CAGCCGCCGCGGGAAUACGUAGGUGGCAAGCGUUAUCCGGAAUUAUUGGGCGUAAAGGGCUCGCAGGCGGUUUCUUAAGUCUGAUGUGAAAGCCCCCGGCUCAACCGGGGAGGGUCAUUGGAAACUGGGAAACUUGAGUGCAGAAGAGGAGAGUGGAAUUCCACGUGUAGCGGUGAAAUGCGUAGAGAUGUGGAGGAACACCAGUGGCGAAGGCGACUCUCUGGUCUGUAACUGACGCUGAGGAGCGAAAGCGUGGGGAGCGAACAGGAUUAGAUACCCCAGUAGUCCCUGUCUCUUAUAC
rnacentral:rRNA from 1 species